ANGGUAGUCGUACGAGCGCACCCCUAUCCUUAUUUGCCAGCGCAUAAUGGCGGGAACUAUAAGGAGACUGCCGGUCAUAAACCGGAGGAAGGCGGGGACGAGGUCAAGUCAUCAUGGCCCUUAUGGGUAGGGCUACACACGUGCUACAAUGGGUGGUACAGAGGGUUGCCAAAGCGUGAGCUGGAGCCAAACCCUUAAAACCAUUCUUAGUCCGGAUUGGAGUCUGCAACUCGACUCCAUGAAGUCGGAAUCGCUAGUAAUCGCGAAUCAGAAUGUCGCGGUGAAUACGUUCUCGGGCCUUGUACACACCGCCCGUCACGUCAUGGAAGUGGGUUGCACCAGAAGUGGUUUGUUUAACCUUCGGGAGAACGGUCACCACGGUGUGAUUCACAACUGGGACGAAGUCGUAACAAGGUAGCCCUAGGGGAACCUGGGGCUGGAUCACCUCCUU
rnacentral:rRNA from 1 species